rnacentral:tRNA from 1 species
GGUUGCCAUGGCGCAGCGCGCUCCCUCUGCUGCGGCCGGACGCCGGCUGUACCUGCUGUUCCGCAUCGGCGGCGACCGC